UAAAGGUAUAUAUCGUUGAUUAAUUUGGUUUCUUGGAGGUACUUGAUCAGGUUUGUGGUCUGGUUAUUUAAUAUAUCCUUGGCGGUUCCAAUAAUGUAUGUGUUUCUUGAGCUUUCGAAGUUUUUGCAGACGCAAAGUAUGUGGUUAAUCGUCAUAUGUUUUUUGCAGGUUUCGCAUUGUGGAGGCAGUGAUUUUUGUAAUAUGUAUUGGUGUGUAAUCGUUGUAUGUCCAAUUCUUAGGCGAGUGAUUGCAACUUGUUCUUUGCGAGAAAGGUGUAAGCGUAAGUGAGGGAGCAGCCGACGACAACAGCAUAAAUAAAGAGACUGAAUAGCAUAGAGUCAGAGAACAUGAUGACUCACUUAAACUCAAUAGAAUGCACUACGACUACAUUAUACAGAAACGCGAGAAGACGAGAGACGACGACAUCGAGAGAGACUUUAUCGAAACUAACGACAACGAAAUUGAAUAAUCAACAACAAAACUAUUAAUAAGAGCGCGAAUCCCCAAAUCACAGCAUCAUAAACCAAACACUACAAGCUACAAGAAAUGCACACACAAACAUCUACAAGAGGCGCACUAACACACACACACACACACGGAAAGCCGUAACGCUCUGCACCAGCCACGAGCCAGAAGUCUUCCAAAGCCCGCCUAGCAAACGAAGAAGAGAGGUGGCCUGAUUAUAGAAAACCAUAUAUACGCACUCAAAUAAAAGCGACAUGAGCUGCGAAUAUUCUUCAACGUAAAACAAGAAUCAAGCAAGUAGCCACCAGCACUCCACAGCUGUGCAAACAAGCAGUCGCAUACCUCAAAGCAGGGCACGGCACGGCUCAGAACGACAAACAACAACUAAAAGAGGAGAAGCCGGCUAGCAACAGGAACCGAAUUUCCAAGAAUAAUAAGCAUAAGAAAUGCACAAGCGGGGAAAUGGCCUAGGAAGGGAAUUAGACCCUAUGUACGUGUGAUAGCGAACUCACGAAAAUGACGACACAGAGGAAUUAAGCCUUUUUAUUGGAUCUCUCCGCUAAAGAAGCCAUCAUAUACCUCUGUCUCACCUACACGCCUGCUUAUCACAAAAGCGACUACAUGAUAUAAAAGGGCCCAUCAUAGACCGCACGCGUGGCUAUUAAUUCUACACUACAGACGCUACACGUUAGUACGAUCUUCGAGACGGUUCUACGUAAACUAAGAUUCGCGUCGGACUUAGAAUCAUUUUAAUAAAAUUAACUUAGAAGUUCUCGAAAUAACGAACUUAAAAGAAAUCGCGCUUAAAUUCGGAAUCAGCUCCCACAGAUUAUCUUACACCGUCUCUCGAAUCAAUCGUCUCUCGGAAUCUCAAAGGUUUAAAGUUAAUAUUGUAAAUUAUCGAUUUUAAUUGUGAUUGCGAAGCAUCGAAGAUUAUAAAGAGCAUAAAUUUCGCGAAACUGGUUAAUUAAUCGAAUAAACUGAAUUAUUACGGUA